rnacentral:sRNA from 1 species
CAACUCAGUACAGAGAAGUGUGAUGAGCAAGCGAGGGCCUGGGCCACGCCCAGCAGUCCUUUCUGUUUGUCAGAAAUGCAGAUGACUUCUCAGUUUAAGAUCAAGCAAUUCAUAAAAUUAAAAUAAUAACAGCUCAACUUAAGCAAGCGCUUUUAUGUUCUAGUCACUUACCCUAGCACUUGAGGUUUGUCAAUUUAAUUCUAUAACAACCCCAGAGGAAGAUAAGAAGACAAUAUCGUCCCUUAUUUACCAACCGGGACAAUUUACUGUUGUCCAAGUGCUCUGGGCAGGACAGAAGGGUGUGGGUGUGCUGCUUCCAGGCUUGGAACAGGAGGUAGAACAAUGAACAAUGAUAGAAAGUAUUCAUAGGCCAGGCACGGUGGCUCACACCUGCAAUCCCGGCACUUUGGGAGGCCAAGAAGGGCGGAUCACUCGAGGUCAGGAGUUUGAGACCAGCCUGGCCACCAUGGUAAAACCCUGUCUCUACCAAAAAUACAAAUAUUAGCUAGGCAUGGUGGUGCAUGCCUGUAAUCCCAGCUACUUGGGAAGCUGAGUCAGAAGAAUCACUUGAAUCCAGGAGGCAGAGGUUGCAGUGAGCCGAGAUUGUGCCACUGCACUCCAGGCUGGGUGACAGAGCAAGAUUCUGUCUCAAAAAAUUAAAAAAAAAAAAAAAAAAGAAAGAAAUAUUAAUAGAAGUAGGAAAAGGUUGGAGGGAGGUCUCAGGGUAGGGCAGGUUCUGAAUGGCACGAAAUAAUGGCCAGGCUACUCUGCCCUAUGAAUGCCCAUCAGCUGAACUUAACAGGCAGGCCUCCAGACACACAGCAGCCAGUUCCUGAGGGCUUUUGUGUGUCAGGGUGCAGGUCUGCUGGGCUGCCAGCCAACUUGACAUCACCUCUCUUGCCUGCCAAUAAAACUGAACCUUCUAACGAGGUUAUACAUUCCUGAGUCCCUGGGCUCAUAACCCUUCUAGGUGGCCUUUCUGGUCACUCAGGGGUGGGCCUUCAUACCUGCGUCUCUUUACUUCCUCUCACCAUCACUCUAAGGCCUCUCCCUGGGAGCUGGCUGAGCUCACUCCUGCACAUUUGGCUAUCUUUAGAACUCCUGGUCCCAAAUUGCAGUUCUGGCCCCUCUGGCUGCUGGGGAACAUAACCUCUGCCUGCUCCCCAGGGGCUCACCGUGUGGGGGAGCAAACCAUGUAUAUCCAGUGCUGUGAGUGGCUCCAGUCAUGGAGGAGCAAGGAUGAGUUCUGCCUGGAAGAAUCUGGGAAGGCUUCCUGGAGGAGGGAACAAUGGCAUGGACCUUGAAGAGUCAGAAGCUUUCAAUUCAUUCCAUUCAAGCAUUGCUCUCAUGUGGCAUUCAAGCAUUCUAUAGUGCUUGCCGUGACUCAGGUGCACAGUGCAAAAGGAAGCACAUCUUUCUCUGCCAUGAGGACUUAUUAGUGUCUGAAGAGCUUUUUCUGGACUAUAGGAGAAAGUCAUGGUCUCCCUCACUAAUAAACACUGACCCUGCUUUGGAUGAGCUAACAGCCCUGCUCAGAAAGCAUGACACCCAUCCUGUUCACUUCUCCCUGCCCCGGUCAAACCACCAAGCCCUAGAUUGCAUUGCCAAGUAUCCUGUAUUUACUGGGAAUGGACAUCACAGUAGCAUGCCUUCCUAGCCACAUCUAUGAGGUUUUGUUCAUUUUCAUUCUGCUUUUUGUUUGAACUAAACCUGCCUUAGAAGGCAGAAAAGAAAAGAUAACGUCUGAUUCCCCCGAUCAACCAACCAAUCAACUAGGUCAGGGCCACGUAAAUUCAUUCAGGACAAGCACUGGGGUCAAACUCCCCAGUGAUCCUCACCCUCCUCCAGAAUUUCCACUUCCCAAAAUGAAGCAAAGAGCGGUAGACAGGAGUCAUCCCUUCUUGUGGCUCCCAACCUGGGGCAGCCCCCUGCCUCCCUUUAGAUGGGCAAUCGGCUUAGAAAGUGGAGGGGAAGCCAGUGUGGAUCUACUCACAGAAUGUUCUUCUGGUUUCCAGCCAGGAUUGCUACAGUUGUGAUUGGAGGAGUUGUGGCCAUGGCGGCUGUGCCCAUGGUGCUCAGUGCCAUGGGCUUCACUGCGGCGGGAAUCACCUCGUCCUCCAUAGCAGCCAAGAUGAUGUCCGCGGCGGCCAUUGCCAAUGGGGGUGGAGUUGCCUCGGGCAGCCUUGUGGCUACUCUGCAGUCACUGGGAGCAACUGGACUCUCCGGAUUGACCAAGUUCAUCCUGGGCUCCACUGGGUCUGCCAUUGCAGCUGGCAUUGCGAGGUUCUACUAGCUCCCUGCCCCUCGCCCUGCAGAGAAGAGAACCAUGCCAGGGGAGAAGGCACCCAGCCAUCCUGACCCAGUGAGGAGCCAACUAUCCCAAAUAUACCUGGGGUGAAAUAUACCAAAUUCUGCACCUCCAGAGGAAAAUAAGAAAUAAAGAUGAAUUGUUGC